AUGAACGCUGGCGGCGUGCCUAAUACAUGCAAGUCGAGCGAACAGAUGAGGAGCUUGCUCCUCUGACGUUAGCGGCGGACGGGUGAGUAACACGUGGAUAACCUACCUAUAAGACUGGGAUAACUUCGGGAAACCGGAGCUAAUACCGGAUAAUAUAUUGAACCGCAUGGUUCAAUAGUGAAAGACGGUUUUGCUGUCACUUAUAGAUGGAUCCGCGCCGCAUUAGCUAGUUGGUAAGGUAACGGCUUACCAAGGCGACGAUGCGUAGCCGACCUGAGAGGGUGAUCGGCCACACUGGAACUGAGACACGGUCCAGACUCCUACGGGAGGCAGCAGUAGGGAAUCUUCCGCAAUGGGCGCAAGCUUGACGGAGCAACGCCGCGUGAGUGAUGAAGGUCUUCGGAUCGUAAAACUCUGUUAUUAGGGAAGAACAAAUGUGUAAGUAACUAUGCACGUCUUGACGGUACCCAAUCAGAAAGCCACGGCUAACUACGUG
rnacentral:rRNA from 1 species